GGGGCCUUAGCUCAGCUGGUAGAGCAUCGCGUUUGCAACGCGAGGGUCGCCGGUUCGAACCCGGCAGGCUCCA
rnacentral:tRNA from 1 species